rnacentral:rRNA from 1 species
CAAUAGCGUAUAUUAAAGUUGUUGUGGUUAAAAAGCUCGUAGUUGAACCUUGGGCCUGGCUGGCCGGUCCGCCUCACCGCGUGUCACUGGUCCGGCCGGGUCUUUCCCUCUGUGGAACCACAUGCCCUUCACUGGGCGUGGCGGGGAAACAGGACUUUUACUUUGAAAAAAUUAGAGUGCUCCAGGCAGGCCUAUGCUCGAAUACAUUAGCAUGGAAUAAUAAAAUAGGACGUGCGGUUCUAUUUUGUUGGUUUCUAGGACCGCCGUAAUGAUUAAUAGGGACAGUCGGGGGCAUCAGUAUUCAAUUGUCAGAGGUGAAAUUCUUGGAUUUAUUGAAGACUAACUACUGCGAAAGCAUUUGCCAAGGAUGUUUUCAUUAA